AUUGAACGCUGGCGGCAUGCCUUACACAUGCAAGUCGAACGGCAGCAUGGAAGAGCUUGCUCUUCUGAUGGCGAGUGGCGAACGGGUGAGUAAGCAUCGGAACGUACCGUGUAAUGGGGGAUAACGUAGCGAAAGUUACGCUAAUACCGCAUACGACCUGAGGGUGAAAGCAGGGGAUCGCAAGACCUUGCGUUAUACGAGCGGCCGAUGUCAGAUUAGCUAGUUGGUGAGGUAAAGGCUCACCAAGGCGACGAUCUGUAGCGGGUCUGAGGGGAUGAUCCGCCACACUGGGACUGAGACACGGCCCAGACUCCUACGGGAGGCAGCAGUGGGGAAUUUUGGACAAUGGGGGCAACCCUGAUCCAGCCAUGCCGCGUGAGUGAAGAAGGCCUUCGGGUUGUAAAGCUCUUUCGGCCGGGAAGAAAUCGCACAGGCUAAUACUCUGUGUGGAUGACGGUACCGGCAUAAGAAGCACCGGCUAACUACGUGCCAGCCGCCGCGGUAA
rnacentral:rRNA from 1 species